AACACCUCAAAACUUUUUUUUUAUUUUUUAAAAAACAGUUUUGGACUUGAGCAAUCCCAACACCAAUCUUUUUUAGAUCGGUGGCGGGUUGCUUGAAAUGCAGGUGCAGCUGGACAUUCUCCUGAGCUAAAAGCAUAUUUAUUUAGUCCCGUCAAACGGAUUAUUACUUUUGCUGCAGCUAAUAUAAAGGGAGUUUGACCGUUUUGGCUGACUGAUGCAGGAUUUCACAAGGGUCGGCAACGAUUCUUGUAAA
rnacentral:misc_RNA from 1 species